rnacentral:lncRNA from 1 species
AUGUAUUGACAAUUAUCACACAAAUUAAUUGACCUGAUCACCUGAAUAAUGGUUUCAAAACUUCAAUCAAUCAAUUCCUAAAAGCUACUUGAGAAUCUAUGACCUAUGUUAGGUGUCAUUAUGUAAAAAUGUGUGAAACUUGUUUGUUAAGUUUUAGUUUUGUUUGUUAGGCUCGGCGCGCGCCUCACCUUGCCAGGCUUGGACUUGGCUUGGCCUUGCCUUGCCAGGCUUGGACUUGGCCUCGUUUUGUACUUGCCUAUACAAGGCCUUGUUUGUUAAUGAUAGAACUUGAGGAGCACAGUUUUUGCUCAACAUAGAAGCCAAGCCCCACUUCAACUUUUCUAAAGCAUUUUAAUUUUUAGGAAAAUGUGUUUCUACAGUUGUGAAACAAUCAGAGACUCAGAAUGAAAAAGGGUUGUAUGGAUAACAUUCAGGAAUCAAUCAAGAACAAAAUAUUAAAGACUUUUUACUUUAUGUGAGUAUAUAAAAAUAAAAAUAAUUACCACGAGACACGUUUACUUAACAAUUAACAUGAUCCUAGUCUUGCUAUGCAGCUUGCAACCAGAAACAGGUGCUAAUCUUAUUUACUAUUACAUAUAUUAAGACACACAUGGUUGGUUGUCCUACUUAGAUUCAUAUUGUAGCAAGCAUACAUCUCUAUGUAGCUGCUGACUGCCCAAGUAAAGAAAGCCUCUUCUUCAUAGCAAUUUGAGGAGACCUGUCGAAUUCUUG